GACCCUGACCCAGGACCAGUAUAUGUGCAGCACAAUCAACAAGCCAUUCAGGCCCGUCAACGUGUAAUUGCGACAAUAUAAAUGAACAGCAUGCGUCAAGACACGGCCAGAUGGACGGGCUUCAGCACUGGGGGGAACAUUAGAGACACGGGAGACGCUGGACUGAAUGGGCUCUGGCUGCUCAGGUGGUGCGGACUCUGAGUGCGUGCCAGUGGACAUUCCUGCGGUUCCUAAGUCCAAUUAAACACAGGCACAUCUUAACAGUAAUUUGAGUCUGUUCCUUAUUAAUGGGUACACGCAUUUGCAAUAAAAGCAGUGGAUACGUGAAAUCUCUGGUGUACCUUUUGCUAUAUUGCAUGCAUUUUAAAAUUAAACGGUGGCUGGCUAUGUAUAUCAAAGUUAAGGAAAUAAAUCUGAGUCACCUUG